UGGUCCGUUGGUCAAGCGGUUAAGACGCCGCCCUCUCACGGCGGAAACAGGGGUUCGAUUCCCCUACGGACUGU
rnacentral:tRNA from 1 species